AUCUUAAAAAUUAAAAAAUUUGGCGGUAUUUUAGUCUUUUCAGAGGAACCUGUUUUUUAAAUGAUAAUCCACGAUAAAAUUAACUUAAGUUUUAAAUUUGUAUAUCGUCGUAGUUAAAAUAUUUUAUUAUAUAAUAUUUUCAGAUCAAGGUGCAGUUUAUAUUUAAGAAAAAAUGGGUUACAUUAAAAAAUUUAAUUAAAUUGGAUUUGAAAGUAAGCUCUAAAGUAUGUACAUAUUGCCCGUCGCUUUCAUUUUUAAAUGAAAUAAGUCGUAACAAAGUAGAUUUAUUGGAAAAUGAAUCUAGAAUACAAAUUAGAGCUUGAUAAGUAUUUUAUUUACAUUAAAAAGUUAAUUGUGAAAUUCAAUUUAAUUUGAAAAUAAUAAAUUAUUAUUAAUUUAAGUUUUUAUUAUUUAAUAAAAAAAUUUUUAGUUUUUAGUAUUUUAAAGAAAAAAAAUUAUUAUAGUUAAUAGUAUUGUAAAAGAAAUUUAAUUUUUAAAAAAAAGAAAAUUUGAUUAAUUGUACCUUGUGUAUCAGGGUUUAUUAAUUUAUAAUUCUCGAAUUUUAAAGAGUUAAUUUUAUUGUAAUAUAAAUAUUUAAAAUAAAUAAUUAGAAAUGAAAUGUUAUUCGUUUUAAAAUAUAUCUAGUUUUUUUAGAAAAAAUUUAAUUUUAAAAUUAAUUAAUAAUAAUAUAAAGGGAUUAGCUUUAAAUUAUAUAUUUAAAAAUUUAUUUAUAUAUAAAUAAUAUAGAAUUAGAAGUUUUUUUUAUUUGAAGUGAUUUAUAUCUUAUAAUUUUAAUUUGUUUAUAAAAAUUUAAAUUUUAAUUGUAAAUAUUUAGUAAUAAUGAUAAAAUUAGUAAAAUUUUUAUAAAGAAUUCGGCAAAUAUAUUUUUCACCUGUUUAUUAAAAACAUCGUUUUUUGAAAAUGAUAAAAAAUAGGGCCUGCUCAAUGAUUAAAUAGCUGCAGUAUUUUGACUGUACAAAGGUAGCAUAAUCAUUAGUUUUUUAAUUGAAAGCUGGAAUGAAUGGUUUGAUGAAAAAAUUUCUGUUUCUAAAAUUUUAUUUUUAAGUUAAAAAGCUUAAAUUUUUUAAAAAGACGAGAAGACCCUAUAGAGUUUUUUUAUUGGGGUGAUAAUUAAAUUAAUUAAACUUUAAUUUUUUAUGAAUA
rnacentral:rRNA from 1 species